ACCAUGAAGAACGGACCAGUGCGAGUUCCAGAAGAAGUCAAAAACGGACCAGUGGAAGUUAAAAACGGACCAGUACAAAGAAUCUUCAUAACUUUUUACUCACAAAAGCUAUGAAGGUCCAUGAGCACUUGUUGGAAAGCUUGACGAGUCUACUUUCCAAUGAAUUUAGUGGCGACCAGUUUGGAUACUCCAUAUUGCC
rnacentral:lncRNA from 1 species